AUUGAACGCUGGCGGAAUGCUUUACACAUGCAAGUCGAACGAUGAAGUCUAGCUUGCUAGACGGAUUAGUGGCGAACGGGUGAGUAAUAUAUCGGAACGUAUCCAUUAAUGGGGGAUAACUAGUCGAAAGAUUGGCUAAUACCGCAUACGUCCUACGGGAGAAAGCUGGGGAUCGUAAGACCUGGCGUUAAUGGAGCGGCCGAUAUCUGAUUAGCUAGUUGGUGAGGUAAAGGCUCACCAAGGCGGCGAUCAGUAGCUGGUCUGAGAGGACGACCAGCCACACUCGAACUGAGACACGGUCCAGACUCCUACGGGAGGCAGCAGUGGGGAAUUUUGGACAAUGGGCGAAAGCCUGAUCCAGCCAUUCCGCGUGAGUGAAGAAGGCCUUCGGGUUGUAAAGCUCUUUCGCAAGGGAAGAAAACUUAUCCUCUAACAUAGGGUGAGGUUGACGGUACCUUGAUAAGAAGCACCGGCUAACUACGUGCCAGCCGCCGCAGUAAAAC
rnacentral:rRNA from 1 species